rnacentral:rRNA from 1 species
GGGGGGGGGGGGGGGGGGGGGGGGGGGGUGGGGGUGGGACGGGGGGGCCCUGCGUGUGUGGGGGUGUCGCGGGGCGAGCGGGUGGGUAAGGCGUGGGUGGCCUGGCCUUGACGUUUGGAUAAGUUGAGGGAAAUGGGGCUAAUAUCGGAUAGGCGCUCCUGCUGGCUGGGUGGUGUUGGAAAGGUUCAGCGGUUGGGGAUGGGCUACGGGCUUAACAGCCUGUUGGUGGGGUAGUUGCUUCCCAAAGCUUUGACGGGCAGCCGUACUGAGAGGGUGACCGGCCACAUUGGGACUGAGAUACGGCCACGACUCCUACGGGAGGCAGCAGUGGGGAAUAUUGCACAAUGGGCGGAAGCCUGAUGCAGCAACGCCGCGUGCGGGAUGACGGCCUUCGGGUUGUAACCCGCUUUCGCCUGUGACGAAGCGUGAGUGACGGUAAUGGGUAAAGAAGCACCGGCUAACUACGUG